CGCCGGGGGAAACUGAGGCAGGCGGGCGGGGGCUGCCACCGGAACUGCUGUCACCUGCGGGACAGCCUGGCCCGGACAGGUCCCUUGGGCUGUGCUUGCGGGUUACGGUAUUCACCUUUGCCGGCCGCGCACCGCUCCCAGGACAUCACCCGUUCCCACGCCACUGCCUGCUCAGGGCUGCCCGUGGAAGAGUUUUAAGCAUGUCCAGCUGUGCCUGCGGUGGUCAGCGUUUCAACUGACAGUGCCGAAGGGGGAAAAAAAUAAAGCAACAAACGAUCGACCCCCAGGAAGCUAACGUGACAAUUCUUUGCUGCCUCUCAAAGGCAGAACUGGCAGUUUAAGUUGUGGCCAGCCGAGCACCAGCCUUUUCCUGCCACCCUCCUGGGUGCAGAGCCACUUCCUUCCCCGCACAACCUGCACAAAGGCACCUCCACCUCUUAAAGGCGCAUCCGGCCCUCUGGCAGUGAAGCAGCCGGCAGGUUCCAGCGAGAAACAAACAAAACACAACAAUAAAAACAGGAGGACUUGGAAAAAAUACUGUCUCUCCAGCAAAAUUCCUUUCAGUGAAAAAAAUGGCCCCAGCUUCCCUUGCCAUGCUUACAGUCACUUAACCGUGCUUCCCAAACACCUUAGCAGAGAGUCGGCAACAUGACAGAUUGGAGCAGCAAACUAUCAGAGAUAUCAAAGAGCAGCUCUUCUCUGAAAAAUGAUUCCACAAAAAAGCAUUGUCAGAUUUCAUGUUCUUUUUUUUUUUUUUCCUUCCCCCCAGGGAAUCCACUGCAAACAGCCAUCAGACCAAGCAGAACUGCAAAGCAAACUCUCCAGACUUUGUGCAAUCUCAGAGUGUGCACAAGUGUGGCUGAAGGAACACCUCACAACAACACAGCUGCUACAGGAGCUCCAGGACCCAGAGCUGGACCAGCAUCCAUAGCAGACAGUCUGUACAGCCUGGGCAACUCAGACAUGCAAGGUGUACCCAUGGGGCUGCUGGAACAAACUCUUACACUAAAUGUAGUUUCCAUUGCAGCUGGUCAAACUUCAGAUUCAGCCACAUGCAGGAAAAGUAAAGACCCUUACAUUUUUUUUUCAUUGCCUUUCAGAGUGGAGCGAUGCUUUAAGGAGGUAUAAAUUAUACAGCUAGACUGGCAGAAGAGAUAUAGGAAGCACAAGUUUCAGGGGACGGUCAAAGCAAUGAAAAGCAUGUCAAUAAUCCAAAACAAGGACCAAACUGCCUUACUAAUGUAAGUGCACUGAGUUCAGACUCAGUGGAUGUGAAUGAAAUUAGUAAUUGCUCUAACGCUACAUGAAUUCUUGAUAGAAUGAACAUUUCUGUGCUUGUUUCAAGUUUUACUGCAUUUAAGGUGUUUUCACACAAUUCAUAAGAUAUCAUGGUGUUUUUUUGUAGUUUGAAAAAACACAUAAAGCAGCAACAGGAAUGUAUCAGGUGAUCACGAGGUCCCAGAUACUGAGACUGGUUCCUUCCUCAUACAAGCCCAAAUUAAGUUAUUUUCUGAGGGUGAAAAGUAAUUUUAUUUUUUUCUGUAUAGAAAACACAUUCCCAAGCAUGCUGGUUUUUUCUCUACCUACCAUCAUAAGUAGUAUCUCUCUGCAAUUAAAUUGCUCUCUCUAGUGUAACAGUCUAAGUUUCUCUUUUAAACCUGCCUGUCUUUUCAGAGGAAGUGGUUUACAGUAGACAAAUCACUUAUCUAAAAAUUAUGUACUUACUUCUCCUUUGACAAAUCUUCAGCAGGUUUCUAAUCCCACCCUGCCACUUGAAAUAUCACUUUCUGUGAUGACAUUUGAGUCACAGUUGUCAGAAGCAUCAGGCUCUGUAGUCAAAUGGAUUAAAUCACACUUCAUAGCAUGCAGUAUUUUGAAGAAGGAGUGGUUUAUCAUUUGUAGAAAUUAAUCAUAACAGUUUUUUCUCUAGGGCAAAUUCCCAAUCAUUUUUAAAGAUUACUAUGUUUAAGCCCCUCUGACAGCAGUAUGUCAAAUUACAUCACAAGGAAGGUUAUUUUCAGGCAAUGAUAACUAUGAACACAACUCACUUAAGACACGUACUACUGGGAGAAGUGGGUCUGUACUGGGAAGCACCUUUUUUUAUGUGGGGAUGGGAGAACAGGCUCUUUGGCUGUGCUUUGUGUGGCUCUGUUGAGGCCCCAGGGAUCCCAUUGUCUGGGGGUGUGCCUGCUGCUGGCUCUUGUCCCACCUCAGCCUCACAGGGGAGGGGGAAACAGGUCAGAACUCAAACGUCUUUGAGUUCUACAGGAGGGGAAAGAGGAGACACUUACUUGGACCACCUCUAGCUGAUUAAAGAGAAGAGUUGGAAGAUUUUCAGAGAAGUCCUGUUUAUCUCAAAGCAGGAGGCAACGUUUGUCUGUUUAGCACAGACAGUCGGUGCAAAACAGUAUUACAGACAAAAUUUCUAAAUCUCAAUCCUGUCAGUCACUGCUUGGCACAGGAGCAAACCAUGUUCUUAUGGUACUGCUCAUUGCUCACCAUGCCAAGAUACCUCUCCAAAGGUGUGUAUUUUUAAGAAGUCAGAAGCCUGUCCUUAAGUUGAGAUGAUGCAAUAGACAUGCCCAUGGAACACCAAUUUUUCAUGGUGAACAAGCUAAUGUUGUGAACAACUUUCAUAUGUUCAGGUGCUUUUGACUGCUCAAUAUGAACAGCAUGAUGCGUGUCUUCAACUGCUUCAAGUGAGGUAGCCUUUGGACAUAAUUCUCACUUCUCUUCUGCUUAUGCCCCUCUUCAGUGAUAUGCAAAUAGAUCAACACCUGUAAUAAAGAUGCAAUCACCAACAGUGAAAGAAGGAGAGGCUGCAGAGGGGUGGAGAACAAAUCACCCAUUUGGAUACUUCAGUAUCAAGCAGACUGUACACAGAGGGACAGCAUCAUGUUCUGCUAGAAUAUCAUUGUCAGAGUUAUGCUGAGAAAAGAGCAGAGAAAGAAAGCAUAAAUGGGUAAGGAAAAACUCUUCAAGUAGCUGUAAUAGCAGUUAUUGCCCACUGACUCAUAAUAUAAUCCUUUAGCAAUGCAAAUUUUCUAUGACCAAAGAUUUAAAGGUUUAUCUCGGGGACCAAUCUUUAUUCAUCCGAGUUUUGCUGCACUGCUGAACACAGCAGGGUAGUUCCUUACAAUAUUUGUCUAGAGCAGGUUAUUUGCCCAAGAAUUAGUUCCCUUGAUAUGUAUAUAUUUUACUGUUGAUUCAAAGGAUUCAAAAAUCUCUUUAGAAGGCUUACAAUUACAUAGUUGAAAUACACAGAAUACAUGGAUCAGUGGCCUUGUCGAUUUUUCCUAAUGUUUCACAGUAGGUUGAAUCAGUUGAAGCUGUCAUAAAUCUAAGGGCUGCAUCCCAGUAAAAAACCAACCAUGUAUUUGAAAAAACAAAAAUUGAAAUCCUCUGACUGUGCAUCAAGUGUCUUUCAUGCAUAACCCAUUUUUACAUAAUCAAAUAAACUCCUUCUAAAGAGAGGUGUGGAAGGAAAACCCAGUAUUUAAAAGUAAAGUAAAAGGAGGCCCUUUCACACGGUUUUGUCCUAUCCUGUUUGAGAUUACUACAUUGCAAAGAAUUUUAUGACUAAAGUACAUACCCUUUGGUCCCCCUCUGCAUUAGGGUUUAUAAAGCAAAGGUAGGGAAGUUACAAAAGGUAGGGUUUUUUUCCUGCUGCCCAUGACCACUGUUUGCUUGUAGCCCUUGGUAACUAAAUGUUUUGAUGAAGCCUCUGAUCUGAACCUGGAACCACCAAAUGCUGUUUUGGAAGCACACAGCAAUUGGGCCAGAACAUUCAAAAUCUUCUGAAAGACACACCCUAUUUAACUUUCAAGACCAUGGAAAUGCUCAUGUUCUUGUUACCCCAUUACAAAACAAUACUCCUUCAACUCUCAGCAAAGGCUCAGGAUAGACCUUUGGGCACCCUGAUGAACACCUCUGUCAAUUGCCAAAAUAUCUGGAAAAGGAGACCUUAAGUCCAUCUAAUAAUGUUGCAAUUUUCUAAUCUCUAUUUCCUUCAUUCUUUCUUUUGAUUUAAUGCCUUUACCAUGUGCAGAAAAACAAGAUGAUCUAUAAAAUUACAAUGCAAUAAAACCACUCAGAAAUACA